rnacentral:tRNA from 1 species
CGGGAUAUAACUCAGUGGCAAAGCACUUGCCUUGCAUGCAUGAGGCACUGAGUUCAAUCCUCAGUAUCACAU